AGUGAACGCUGGCGGUAGGCCUAACACAUGCAAGUCGAACGGCAGCACAGUAAGAGCUUGCUCUUACGGGUGGCGAGUGGCGGACGGGUGAGGAAUACAUCGGAAUCUACUUUUUCGUGGGGGAUAACGUAGGGAAACUUACGCUAAUACCGCAUACGACCUACGGGUGAAAGCAGGGGAUCUUCGGACCUUGCGCGAUUGAAUGAGCCGAUGUCGGAUUAGCUAGUUGGCGGGGUAAAGGCCCACCAAGGCGACGAUCCGCAGCUGGGCUGAGAGGAUGCGCACCAACUCCGGAAGGGAGACACGGAGGGGAAAUAUAGGGGAGGGGGCAGAGGCGAAUACCGGCCAACCGGCGAGGGUAAGAAAGACCUUCGGGGUGUAAGGCCUUUUUGUUGGAAAGGAAAAAAGCCAGUUUAAACCCCCGGUUUUUGACCGUACCCGAAGAAAAAGCCCCGGCUAACUUCGUG
rnacentral:rRNA from 1 species